CACAUCAGUUAACUGGUCAUAAAGUUGCUGUGAAAAUCCUUAACAGACAAAAAAUAAAAAAUCUCGAUGUUGUUGGAAAAAUUCGGAGGGAAAUUCAGAAUCUCAAGCUGUUUCGGCAUCCACACAUUAUUAAAUUAUAUCAAGUAAUCUCAACACCAACAGAUAUCUUCA
rnacentral:sRNA from 1 species